UCUACCUACUCACUUCGUAGUUUUAGGAGGUUACAUAAUAAAAUUUCAAUAUUAUACCUCGACCUCCUACCACGUCGCAUGUUAUCACAAAUAUAUACGUAUUCCAAAUUAGAAAGCGAUAGAGAAAAAAGAAAAGAAAUUAAAUUCACACGUAUUCGAUCGAACCAUCGAAACGACCUUUUUUUUCGCGAUGUUUCAUUUUAUUUCCAACAGAAUUUCGAGCGCGCAUCAUCUUUUGUCGCGUAUGUUCGGACGCUGAAAAACGUCUGAGGGGAAAAAAAAUGAGAGAAAGCAAAAAUUAAAGAAAAAUUAAAGAAACGGAAAUCGGAGACAGGAUAUGAUGCGUGAGUCUCCAUCGACACGAUCCGAAUGAAUAAAAAGAGCGGCGGGGAACGUCGGAAAAAAAUAAGAGGAAUGAAAAAAAAAAACUAAAUGGAAACAAAAAGGAAAUGAAGAGGAAUGAAAAAGAAAGGAGAGUAAAGAUCGAAAGAAACGAAAGAAAAAAAAAAAAAAUGCGGAAAACUUGUAUUACGUGGGUUGGUUUAUAAAUAGUUAGACGUAGGAUCGUCACGAGGUCGGUUGAGGAGACUAGAGAUGAACCGAAAGUAUACGCGAUGUAAAAUAUGGUUGUGCACAAUUUCGUUGAGACAAAAGUGACGAGCGAAACGAAAAAGUAAAAGAGAUAUAAAAAAAAUAAUCUACAUCUACGGGUGAUCCUGACGAAUAUCUGUGAGAUGAUUUUGUGGUCGUAGUCGCCGAGAAUCGAGUUACCCGGUUACGAUUCUAUAUAUACGUACGUACGUACGUACGUACACGCGAAUCGUCCGUGAUGUUCGAACGUGAAGUGGACCCAGGAAGACCGGAGACCGCACGAGCGACCAGACCACGAUUCUUCUUUUUUCUCCAUAAGAAGAACGCUGCCAAUUAGUCGUAAAAUGAUAAAUGAAAAAUAAAGAAGAUAAAAAAAAAAUAACUUCACAAAAGGGGACGGAGGAAGUGCAAUGACGUUCGCAUCUGGUUACAGUCACCCUCAACAUCGGCGAAUUCCGACGGAAGACUCGCGCGCUGCACGUGGAGAGGGAGAGACGCACAUCUCAUACGCCAGAUUUCACGAUGUCCAUAAAAUACGCAAUGAUCAUAAAAAGCCAGAACAAUAACGAA